rnacentral:rRNA from 1 species
GACAGCAGUAGCCACGGUAAUACCGAGGGUGCGAGCGUUAAUCGGAUUUACUGGGCGUAAAGCGUGCGUAGGCGGCUUCUUAAGUCGGAUGUGAAAUCCCUGAGCUUAACUUAGGAAUUGCAUUCGAUACUGGGAAGCUAGAGUAUGGGAGAGGAUGGUAGAAUUCCAGGUGUAGCGGUGAAAUGCGUAGAGAUCUGGAGGAAUACCGAUGGCGAAGGCAGCCAUCUGGCCUAAUACUGACGCUGAGGUACGAAAGCAUGGGGAGCAAACAGGAUUAGAGACCCCCGUAGUUCCUGUCUCUUAUAC